UCUAAUGUGGCAGAUUAGUGCAACGGAUUUAAGCUCCGUAUAUAAAGAUCCGAAACUUUCAUUAGAA
rnacentral:tRNA from 1 species